AGUCAUAUGCUUGUCUCAAAGAUUAAGCCAUGCACGUCUAAGUGCAAGCGCUAGCCUACAGUGAAACUGCGAAUGGCUCAUUAAAUCAGUUAUGGUUCGCUAGACGGUACCAAGCUACUUGGAUAACUCUGGCAAUUCUAGAGCUAAUACAUGCACCUAGGCUCCGACCGGCCGGCCUGUGGCUCGGCCGCCUUCGGGCGGUCUCCGCAGUGCAGCGGCGGGAAGAGCGCAUUGGUUAGACCACGAUGGGCGAAUACGCGGGGUCGUACGCCGGCACGCGCGCCGCUUGCGGAAGGCGGUGUUGACUGCGGCUCUUGCUCGCCCGCAGUGGUGACUCUGAACCACUUUGCCGAUCGCACGGCCUUCGCGCCGGCGACAUGUCUUUCGAGUGUCUGCCCUAUCAACUGUCGAUGGUCGGCUCUCAGCCUACCAUGGUUGUAACGGGUAACGGGGAAUCAGGGUUCGAUUCCGGAGAGGGAGCCUGAGAAACGGCUACCACAUCCAAGGAAGGCAGCAGGCGCGCAAAUUACCCAAUCCCGACACGGGGAGGUAGUGACGAAAAAUACUGAUGCGAGCCCUCCCUCGCGGGGGCUCGUAAUCGGAAUGAGUACACUUUAAAUCCUUGCGGCGAGGAUCCAUUGGAGGGCAAGUCUGGUGCCAGCAGCCGCGGUAAUUCCAGCUCCAAUAGCGUAUAUUAAAGUUGCUGCAGUUAAAACGCUCGUAGCUGAAGGUGGGGAGCGAGCGGGCGGCCCGCCGACGCGCCCGUCGCGGAGGCGCCCCGCUGCCCGCCUCGCCCCUGCCUGGCGGUCUCGCCAGAGCGGUGCUCUUGAACGGGUGCCCGCGGAGGCGACCGCCUCGUCUACCUUGAGAAAAUUAGAGUGCUCAAGGCAGGCCCGUAGAGGCCGGAAUAAUGUUGCAUGGAAUAGUGGAAGAGGACCACGGCUCGCACAAAAAGCGGCGGCGGCCUCGCGGCUGUCGUCGUGCGUUGACCGGGGUAAUGAUUAAGAGGGACUGCCGGGGGCAUCCGUAUUGCGGGGCUAGAGGUGAAAUUCUUGGACCCUCGCAGGACGACCCGCAGCGAAAGCGUUUGCCAAGAAUGUUUUCCUUAGUCAAGAACGAAAGU
rnacentral:rRNA from 2 species